CUGGAAACGGAUUUUAUCAGUAUUUUGAUAUAUACAUUAUGGCUCAUGUCUAAAGACACCUGCACUUUCAUAUUGAAAUUGUUCUAAUAUCAUCCAAACAAAACACAUCAGAAAACUGUAACAUCAGCCAAAUGGGCAAAUCAUUUUUUUAACACAAUUUAUGGUAAAAUGAAGCAACAUGUAAUAGUAUCUGAAACAAAACAUUAACUAUGAACAAAACCAAAUCACAUAUUAUUCAAAAGUUGUAAACACUGUCACUGUUGCAUAUAUGAUAUAACAAAAUAUCGUCGCAUUUCCAGUGGUAACUAACUAUAAAUUAGGCCAAUUGGGCUAUUCCAUUUAAUAUCCGUACCCCCCCUGUCGAGGAUCCCUGGAAUUCUUCAGGGGUAAAGAGUUUUGAGCUUGGAAUUCUUCAGGGGUAAAGUGUUUUGAGCUUGGAAAUCUUCAGGGGUAAAGUGUUUUGAGUUUGGAAUUCUUCAGGGGUAAAGGGUUUUGAGCUUGGAAUUCUUCAGGGGGAAAGGGUUUUGAGCUUGGAAUUCUUCAGGGGUAAAGAGGUUUGACUUUGAAAUUUUUCAGAGCUUGAAAUUCUUCAGGGCUGAAGGGUUUUCAGCGUGGAAUUCUUCAGGGGUAAAAGGUUUUGAGCUUGGAAUUCUUCAGGGGUAAAGAAUUUUGAGCUUGGAAUUCUUCAGGGGUAAAGGGUUUUGAGCUUGGAAUUCUUCAGGGGUAAAGGGUUUUGAGCUUGGAAUUCUUCAGGGGUAAAGGGUUUUGAGCUUGGAAUUUUGGAAUUCUUCAGGGGUAAAAGGUUUUGAGCUUGGAAUUCUUCAGGGGUAAAGGAUUUUGAGCUUGGAAUUUUGGAAUUCUUCAGGGGUAAAAGGUUUUGAGCUUGGAAUUCUUCAGGGGUAUAACCAUGAAAACCAUGUAUCCUCGACAGGGGGUGUACGGAUAUUAAAUGGAAUAGCCCAUUUAAACUCGACUAUGAAGAAUAUCAAAAACUAAAGGUCGUGUUUCAGUUUAUAAACCCAGACUUUGGUUUUAUAAAUAUAAACAUUAUAAACGGUAUUAAACGCUAUACGAAGCCAAAUAUGAAGGCACAUUUUGCCCUAAAUACUCGGUCAGAGCCUCAGAGGUGUGUUCUAGUACACAAUUAAUCUUCUCUCACAGUUUAAAACAAACAAUAAUACUAACCUUCGACAAAUUGUGUAUAAAUCUUAACGAAUUUAACCAUUUUGCCACAGAUUUUGCCAAAAAUAUUUCUUAGACGGACAAAGUAUUAAAUCACUCCUUGCAUGAAAUGUUAAUUUAUCCCAAAGUUUGAAUAAAUUAAUCCAAGAUUGCAUUAUUUGCAUAAUAAUGUACUUGUCAUUG